rnacentral:lncRNA from 1 species
AUGAGACACUAUGAAAUGCCCUUCAAUGAAGAAGUGUGUUCAAGCCCUCUAAAUACAGGUGUUUUUUUGAUUGAAUAUUGUCCUGUUAACCUUGUCUUUCAUGACUGUCCUGCCCACAGGGUAUCAUCGGAAUACCAAAAUAAAUGGAUUUGUCAUUUCCUAUCUUGGAGAUCUUUGUGCCUCUCAUCUGCCUGUCGGUGGUGGUCCUGUGCUGCAACACCUCGUGUCGGGCCAUUCAGCGAGCCCGCGAGGAGCGCAGAGCGCAGAACGCCCGGGAGGCCGACAGACCCUCCAUCUUCAUCAUCCCGUUUCCUCCGUCCCGCCCGUCGGACGACGACCUCUACAGGCCGCCUCGCUACAGCGAGACGAGGAGCUACAGCCCACCACCACCGCCUUAUGAUGAGGUGGAAAUGAAGCCGGAAUUCUUCAUGUCACCAGAUGCCCCCCCUCCACCCUACGCCCCCCCUUUCCCUAGACCUUCAUCCCCCUCAGUCACAGGCUCUUAAAACAGAACCUUCAGUGUUGAGAUAUCCAGGGAGGUGCACAGACCAGAAAACGGGGAGAGAUCCUGGCCACGUGUUGCCCAGGCAUGAAGACCCAAAGCUUAAAGACUUUAUGCUCGGGCAUUCAGACUUAAAACUUGCACAUAGUUGAAAUCGUUCCAUAUGUUCAGAGACUGGUGAAGGAAAAAGAGCUGACUCAUCUUGGACUCGGAAAUGUGGACUUUGGGAAUAUGAGCAUUUCGGAAGAGAGGCCGAUCACUCAAUGACUGGGAGAAGCCUGUUCAGUAUUCACAAAAUUUUAGAACAACACCUGUCGGAGGUAUGCCUCUAUGUAUUGCAAAUGAGCAUAGUUUAGGAUGUAGCUUGUCUGCCACGUAUCAUAUUAAGAAUGUUUUUGAGAAUUUGUAAAUUAUGUAAAUAAAAUUCACACAAUAUAUUGGUUGUUUUGAUUU